rnacentral:misc_RNA from 1 species
GCCCCUUUGGUUUUCCACACGCUUAAUUAUUACCAUCAACAAAUUGAAAAGCUGAAAACCCAUGAUUGAAAAUAAACUUACUAUAUAUAUAUACGGUACACAGAUCCGCCACCUCCUGCUUAAUUUCCUGUUCUUCAGGGAUGUGAUAAUCAUGUAGCCACCCGCCGAGGAGUCAGCCGAGAUUGAGCCCCUGUGGAUACAAGAAUUUGAGCGGUAGAAGUAUUAUAUAUAUUUGCAGAUGUUGAAGUAGUGGUAGAGAAGCCAUA